UGAAAUGGAGGCUCGUUGUAC
rnacentral:miRNA from 1 species